rnacentral:ncRNA from 3 species
UAACAGUCUACAGCCAUGG